rnacentral:lncRNA from 1 species
UCGUGUGCACACUUUGAUAUUUCCUCCUUCAUAUGUGAAGAUACGAAUAGAUGCCAGAACAUACAGAAAGAAGACAACGAGAGAAUAAUUAAAUUGAUCCAAUGAACACGUAGGAAUCAGAGACAUCGGGAGAGAAAAAAUAUCUACCAAGUUAGUACAUUGUCCCGCAAACAACAUGGUGUGUACUGAACUCAAGAUUUGAGCCACUUGCUGAAAAGUUCUUUCUACUCCUUUGUGUUUCUCCCUGUACCUGGUUCCACUGUCAGCAAAUGUAUGCUCUGCUUGUAGUCCUCUCAGUUA